rnacentral:misc_RNA from 1 species
ACAAACUUGGUCAUUUAGAGGAAGUAAAAGUCGUAACAAGGUCUCCGUUGGUGAACCAGCGGAGGGAUCAUUACUGAGUUUUCGAGCUCCAAACCCAUGUGAACAUUACUAUCGUUGCCUCGGCGAGAGAACCCUCCCGGUAGCUACCCCGUAGUUACCCGGUGCCUACCCUGUAGCUACCCUGUAGUUGUGGAGUAGUGCCGUGCAAAGUGGUGGGGGACUCGCCGUAGGACUAUUAUAAACUCUUGUUUUCUAUAUUGACACUUCUGAAUUCAUAAUACAAUAAGUUAAAACUUUCAACAACGGAUCUCUUGGUUCUGGCAUCGAUGAAGAACGCAGC